AACAACCAGUUUUUCUCCAGAUGUUCCUGCCCCCGGACUUCAUGUUUCCAAGCAAGCAGAUGUACCUUCUGCAUACCACCUGGAUAAAGAGAGGACCAAUAGCAUAUGAGGUGAUUUGGCCUCUCUGCCCUGUUUGCCCCCAAACAGGAAGUUUCUGCUAUAUGAUCGACCAGGCCCAGAAUCAUCUGUGGAACUGAAUGGUGCUGCCAUGCUUACUGCAACAAGAAAUCACAAAAGCAGGGGAGAGGAGGACCUCAUUUUGCUGUUUGAAUCAGUGCUGGCUAUAAAACUAAUCUGAAAUUAGUCCUUGGAUGGGAGACAACCAGGAAAUUCCAGGGCUGUAGACAAAAUUUUUUGGUCUUGACACAUAAGCUGAGAACACCUCAUAAGAGCCUAAGAAAUACCCUACUGGAUCAGAUCAGUGGGCUUUCUAGUUCAGCAGUGUUUAACCAGUUGUAUGUGGAAUCAAACAAACACAGUCUCCCGAUGACUAGCCUCCUCUAUCAGGGAUAGUCACACUGCCAUCAUCUCUGGCGGCAGCAGCAGCAAACUAUUUUUGCACUGUUGCCAAAAGCAAAGUGUGGGUGUGUCCGUUAGUCAUCAGGAGCUGAGUUCAAUUUGAGGGAGUCUUUAAUUUCAUCUUACUAAAUCAGACUUUUAAAAGUGUAGAGAUUUGCCUUUUUCAAUGAUGUCAUUCUUCUGCUCAGUAUUAUGUGUCAAAGAAUGCCUGUCAUUUAUAUUUGUUUUUUCUACUGAGUUUUGCAACUAAAAUCCUCUGUAAUAAUUUAUUUUAACUUUAUAUACCACACUUCAUUUUUGUGGGCUCAAACCAGAUUAAAAGAAAAAACAAGGAACUGUUCAGCUAGAAUGGAUGCUUGAUAGCCAGCACAAGUGGAAACAGCAGUAUUAAAAAUAUGAGGAGGGAUGUCAGCAAAGUCCAUUGCCCCCGAGCCCUACUGCAGUCAUAUCACACUCUGCAGCCUUUUAGAAAAAGUAGGAAAAGAGAAGAUGUUAUUCUCAUCUACACCCAGCAAUCUGAGAUAACCUGAGAGCCAGCAUCAUGUAGUGGCUUGAGCAUUGGGCUGAAUUCCUGGGUUCAAAUCUCUGUUGGCCUUGAAAGCUCAUUGGGUGACCUUCAGCCAGUCACUGCUGUUCAGACUAGCCUACCUCAUAGGGUUGCUGUGAAGAUAAAAUGGA
rnacentral:lncRNA from 1 species